ACGCGAAGAACCUUACCUACUCUUGACAUCCAGAGAACUUUCCAGAGAUGGAUUGGUGCCUUCGGGAACUCUGAGACAGGUGCUGCAUGGCUGUCGUCAGCUCGUGUUGUGAAAUGUUGGGUUAAGUCCCGCAACGAGCGCAACCCUUAUCCUUUGUUGCCAGCGGUUCGGCCGGGAACUCAAAGGAGACUGCCAGUGAUAAACUGGAGGAAGGUGGGGAUGACGUCAAGUCAUCAUGGCCCUUACGAGUAGGGCUACACACGUGCUACAAUGGCAUAUACAAAGAGAAGCGACCUCGCGAGAGCAAGCGGACCUCAUAAAGUAUGUCGUAGUCCGGAUUGGAGUCUGCAACUCGACUCCAUGAAGUCGGAAUCGCUAGUAAUCGUAGAUCAGAAUGCUACGGUGAAUACGUUCCCGGGCCUUGUACACACCGCCCGUCACACCAUGGGAGUGGGUUGCAAAAGAAGUAGGUAGCUUAACCUUCGGGAGGGCGCUUACCACUUUGUGAUUCAUGACUGGGGUG
rnacentral:rRNA from 1 species